rnacentral:rRNA from 1 species
UGCUGGAGCGAAUAGAAGUGAGCAUGCAGGCAUGAGUAGCGAUAAUUAAUGUGAGAAUCAUUAACGCCGUAAACCCAAGGUUUCCUACGCGAUGCUCGUCAUCGUAGGGUUAGUCGGGUCCUAAGUCGAGUCCGAAAGGGGUAGACGAUGGCAAAUUGGUUAAUAUUCCAAUACCAACAUUAGUGUGCGAUGGAAGGACGCUUAGGGCUAAGGGGGCUAGCGGAUGGAAGUGCUAGUCUAAGGUCGUAGGAGGUUAUACAGGCAAAUCCGUAUAACAUACUCCGAGAACUGAAAGGCUUUUUGAAGUCUUCGGAUGGAUAGAAGAACCCCUGAUGCCGUCGAGCCAAGAAAAGUUUCUAAGUUUAGCUAAUGUUGCCCGUACCGUAAACCGACACAGGUGGGUGGGAUGAGUAUUCUAAGGCGCGUGGAAGAACUCUCUUUAAGGAACUCUGCAAAAUAGCACCGUAUCUUCGGUAUAAGGUGUGGUUCGCUUCGUAUUAGGAUUUACUCCGAAAGCGAAGAAACUUACAACAAAGAGUCCCUCCCGACUGUUUACCAAAAACACAGCACUCUGCUAACUCGUAAGAGGAUGUAUAGGGUGUGACGCCUGCCCGGUGCUCGAAGGUUAAUUGAUGGGGUUAGCAUUAGCGAAGCUCUUGAUCGAAGCCCGAGUAAACGGCGGCCGUAACUAUAACGGUCCUAAGGUAGCGAAAUUCCUUGUCGGUUAAAUACCGACCUGCAUGAAUGGCGUAACGAGAUGGGAGCUGUCUCAAAGAGGGAUCCAGUGAAAUUGUAGUGGAGGUGAAAAUUCCUCCUACCCGCGGCAAGACGGAGAGACCCCGUGGACCUUUACUAUAGCUUGACACUGCUAUUUGGAUAAAGAUGUGCAGGAUAGGUGGGAGGCUUUGAAGCUAGGACGCCAGUUCUAGCAGAGCCAUUGUUGAGAUACCACUCUUCUUUAUUUGGGUAGCUAACCAGCUUGAGUUAUCCUCAAGUGGGACAAUGUCUGGUGGGUAGUUUGACUGGGGCGGUCGCCUCCCAAAUAAUAACGGAGGCUUACAAAGGUUGGCUCAGAACGGUUGGAAAUCGUUCGUAGAGUAUAAAGGUAUAAGCCAGCUUAACUGCAAGACAUACAAGUCAAGCAGAGACGAAAGUCGGUCUUAGUGAUCCGGUGGUUCUGUGUGGAAGGGCCAUCGCUCAAAGGAUAAAAGGUACCCCGGGGAUAACAGGCUGAUCUCCCCCAAGAGCUCACAUCGACGGGGAGGUUUGGCACCUCGAUGUCGGCUCAUCGCAUCCUGGGGCUGGAGCAGGUCCCAAGGGUAUGGCUGUUCGCCAUUUAAAGCGGUACGCGAGCUGGGUUCAGAACGUCGUGAGACAGUUCGGUCCCUAUCUGCCGUGGGCGUAAGAAGAUUGAAGAGAUUUGACCCUAGUACGAGAGGACCGGGUUGAACAAACCACUGGUGUAGCUGUUGUUCUGCCAAGAGCAUCGCAGCGUAGCUAAGUUUGGAAAGGAUAAACGCUGAAAGCAUCUAAGCGUGAAGCCAACUCUAAGAUGAAUCUUCUCUAAGCUCUCUAGAAGACUACUAGUUUGAUAGGCUGGGUGUGUAAUGGAUGAAAGUCCUUUAGCUGACCAGUACUAAUAGAGCGUUUGGCUUAUCUUUAAUAAAGCAU